GACGAACGCUGGCGGCGUGCUUAACACAUGCCAGUCGAACGGUGAAGCGCCUUCCUUUUUGGUGGGUGUGGAUGAGUGGCGAACGGGUGAGUAACACGUGAGUAACCUGCCCCCUUCUUCUGGAUAACCGCAUGAAAGUGUGGCUAAUACGGGAUAUUCUGGGUCUGUCGCAUGAUGGGUCUGGGAAAGAUAUUGUUUCGGUGGGGGAUGGGCUCGCGGCCUAUCAGCUUGUUGGUGGGGUGAUGGCCUACCAAGGCGGUGACGGGUAGCCGGCCUGGGAGGGUGGACGGUCACACUGGGACUGAGACACGGCCCAGACUCCUACGGGAGGCAGCAGUGGGGAAUAUUGCACAAUGGGCGCAAGCCUGAUGCAGCGACGCCGCGUGAGGGAUGGAGGCCUUCGGGUUGUGAACCUCUUUCGCCAGUGAAGCAGGCCUGCCUCGUUUGUGGGUGGGUUGACGGUAGCUGGAUAAGAAGCGCCGGCUAACUACGUG
rnacentral:rRNA from 1 species